rnacentral:rRNA from 1 species
UACAGAGACUGCAAGCGUUUAUUCGGAUUCACUGGGCGUAAAGGGUGCGCAGGCGGUUGUGUGUGUCAGGUGUGAAAGCCCGGGGCUUAACCCCGGAAUUGCGCCUGAAACUCAUGACUAGAGCAUUGGAGAGGGUAGCGGAAUUCACGGUGUAGCAGUGAAAUGCGUAGAUAUCGUGAGGAACACCGGUGGCGAAGGCGGGUCUCUGGGCAAUUCCUGACGCUGAGGCGCGAAAGCGUGGGGGAGCAAACAGG